ACUUAUUGAAAUAAUGUUUCUCUUAUAUUGUAACUAAAAUAUAUUUAAAUUAAUUUCACCUGUUUUUUUCACUUUUUUUUUGUUGCAGUACUGAGAAUUGACCUUUUAGUAAUAUAUAUCUCUAUAUUUUUCUCCUUAGUUGUAUUUUUAUUUUUUGAGUCUGGGUCUUGAGGUAGAAGGUAGAGAAGGGCAAGGAUGCAAUGAAGCAAACAGCUGUGGGGCAGACGGAGCCAGGACGACUAGCUAAAACUGUCCUGCGCAGUGACUGCCGGCGCGGCUCAGUCGGGAGAGCCCUCGCCGCAGGUGUGACUGUCCCCAGCCCUCUCUCGCUCACCCAGCCCAGACUCCUGGCUCCCGUCCCCUCUGCCAGCCGGGUCUUCAGGGCGCUGGGCAAGGACACAGCUGAGUCCUGUGUCACAGGGUUCUGGCCUCGGCGGGCUGCUCCCUCCCCAGGCAGGCGGCAGUGGCGACGCUGCGCCUCCAAACCGGCUCCGGUCCCUGCUGCCACCGAUAGGGCUUUUUCCCAGGGGACCCUGCAUGAUGUGCAAUUUUUCACUUUGCGAAACUGGCAGGUUUUGAGUGGCUGCCAGGUCUGGGACCCUGGGUUGUCCCUGGGGUCCUGAGGAAGGGCGCUGGCCGCUGGGGCCCAGGAUGCCGUGGCCCUCUUCCCCCCCCCCCAUGGCCCCAGAGUAGGUGGCUCGGGGGACUUGGGCUUUGCUUUCUUGAUGGGAGCCAGCAUUUGAGAGCAGGGUGCAGGUCAGGCGCCCCGGAAGGGCCUGGGAGGCCACACUGCCCUGGGGAGGUGCGGGGGGGACUGUUGCAGCCUCUGGGCCGGAGCCAAAUGUUCCCGACCUUUGAUUCACCUGUUUCAGCUAACGAUGGCUCAGGUCGUCCUGGCCGGAUGCUGUUGGCGCGUGGCGCUGUCAGCGGGCCACAGAGCCGCCCAGGUGGGGAGGGACAGCGGGCCUCGGGGCAGAGGCAGGGCCCCGGCGUGCGUGUGGUCGUGUGCAGGGGCGAUGGGUGUGCUCUGUCCCGCCUUCCUCCUCUCCCUCCCUCUGCCAACCCCAACCGCAGGCCCACAGCGAGGCCCAGAUCCUGUGCGUGGGCUGCAGACGCCUGGUCGAGAUGCGGACAGACGGGGACCCCGUGGGGACCAAGGGCAGCCCCCGGCAGCCGUGUGCGGGACGAACGCGUGGAAGUCACCAGAGGGACCCGCGACUGCCUUCGUCUUAGUGGAUCACACACCCCGUCUUAGUUCCUUUCCUUUCGCUGAGACACAGGGCCCGACGACGACUUGGAGGAGGACCUCAUUGCAGCUCACGGUCUGUAGAGUUUCAGACCGAGUCAGCUGGGAUGGAGGAGGAGGAGGGUGUGGACCCCACAGCGAC
rnacentral:lncRNA from 1 species